AGGAGCCGGGAGCGCUCCUCAGUCUUUCGGCGACCGUGAAGCUGGUGAGAUCCCAGCAGGGCCGAGGACGUCGGCUGUCACUGUCAUCUCAGUUCUUCACUCUCCUCCUAAGCCCACCAAUAAAAUGAUUUGAUCACAUGGCUGGUGUCGUGUUUCUUGUCGCGACGCGCUGCCUUUGAGCCCCUGCUGCGCCUGUACGUGGCGCCGGGGGUCAGGCUGCGGCGCCAGAGCACGCGCUUGCGCAUAACUGGGGCCGCCUGCCCCCCGCUGGCGGCCCUUUUAACCGUGAGCAACAAGGCAGCACCG